GGGCUAGCGUUGCUCGGAAUCACUGGGCGUAAAGCGCACGUAGGCGGAUUGCUAAGUCAGGGGUGAAAUCCUGGAGCUCAACUCCAGAACUGCCUUUGAUACUGGCGAUCUUGAGUCCGGGAGAGGUGAGUGGAACUGCGAGUGUAGAGGUGAAAUUCGUAGAUAUUCGCAAGAACACCAGUGGCGAAGGCGGCUCACUGGCCCGAUACUGACGCUGAGGCACGAAAGCGUGGGGAGCAAACAGG
rnacentral:rRNA from 1 species